UACAGAGGGUGCAAGCGUUGUUCGGAAUUAUUGGGCGUAAAGCGCGUGUAGGCGGCCUUGCAAGUUGGGUGUGAAAGCCCUCGGCUCAACCGAGGAAGUGCGCCCAAAACUGCAGAGCUUGAGUACCGGAGAGGAUGGUGGAAUUCCCCAAGUAGAGGUGAAAUUCGUAGAUAUGGGGAGGAACACCGGUGGCGAAGGCGACCAUCUGGACGGAUACUGACGCUGAGACGCGAAAGCGUGGGUAGCAAACAGG
rnacentral:rRNA from 1 species